UCGUUUGAAGGGCUCUCCCUGUUUGCUACCCAAACAAUCAUCUUAUUUGCGAAGUUCUUAUACCAUAUUCCCAGGUAAAUGUUUACUGAAGUGCCUGGCUUGAAGAAACCGAGUUCAAAAGUGCCGUUUUGAGAUACUAGUGUCUGGCUCGCAGUGAGAGAUUGGCCAACCAAAAGGGUAUCACCUACAAUGGAGAAGCAAGUCCUAUGGGAAACGAAUAGCAACAACAGCACAAGGAGCAAAAAACGUGGCUUUGUCUCAACACACAUCCUUUCUAAUUCGUGGGAUUAAGGGUGAAAGAGCUGUGACUGAGCAUGAAUCAGAGAAAGAGGAAGGGAAAAAAACCAGAAAUCCCCUUGUGAAUUCAUCAACUAUAUGAUAAUGCUCUAGAUCUCUUGUUAUAUUGUAGCUGUCAGCUCUGACCAAUAAUUUCCCACACUGACUUGGACUUGAAUUCAUCCGCUAUGCCAUUUGUUUUUUGAGUCAUGUAAUGCUGAAAUGUGGGUUGAAUUGUCAAAUUACAGUAAAAAUAUCAAUAAUAUAAGGCAUUGAAGAAAGAUAAUUUUUUUUUUUGAAAUUUAGAACUUAAAAUGGAAAUUUCUAUACAAUAUAUUUUUGUUUAUUGUUUUUACUUAUAUUAAUUGAAAUUCAUGUUCUAGAUUCAGUUUCAUAUGUGUACUAUAGCUCUUAGUUUUUUUUUAUUUUUUGAUAAAAUAAAUCAUUGGUGCUUUAGAGUGUUUUUAUUUUAUUUUAAAAAUUGUAUCGAGAAAGAGUAGAAAAAGAGAAAGGGGGUGUUUAAUAAUAAGGUGCAUGUUUAUUUUAAAGGCUAAAAUAAUAUUUUUAAAAAUUAAAUUUUUUGCUUGAAGCUAUUUUUUAAAAUUAUUAUGAUGUGUUGGUAUCUAAAAUAAUUUUUAAAAAAUAAAAAAAUAUUAUAUUAAUAUAUUUUCAAGUAAAAAAUAAUUUUUAAAACAAUUAUUAAUUUUAUUUUUCUCAUUGUCUAUUUUAAUUUAUUACUCUUUUUUUUUAAGAGGAUUUUUUCACUAAACAAUUACCACAGUAAUAGUAGACUUCAAAUGUCUAUUAAUAAUUAAUAAAGUUUCAUUGUAUUCUUUGGGUGCAUAUUAGGAUUUAGGACUAUUAUUAAUUAUAGUCCAUUUCAAAGUCAAAGAUGAAUACAUAUUGUAUUCAAAACAGGACCAACCCAUCACACACUCACUUUUGAAUAAAACUUUACGUGGAAUAUAUAUCUGAAAUACAGCAGGAAGGAAAAAUGCAAAACGGCGCGUACGUAAACGGCACGUAUGUUUCUUGGUCAUGCUAAGAAAAAAAUCGACACUUUCUUUAUCAUUACAAGCUAUUAUUUUCUUUCUUUUGAAAAGCAAAUUUACUGUCAAAUUUAGCUGAUGCCAGGUCGGAGAAUCCAUCAAAAUCCCACUGUAGCUUCUGCAUUAUCAAAUAUAUAAUAUAAAUGCAUCCAAAAACUAUCUGAGGUUAACAUAUAAGAAAAUCAAUUGUAUAAAACCCCAUCAGACAGAACAUCUCUUUUGAUGAAUGAGCGAUUUUUAUUUAUCAAAGAACGACUUAACAGGAAAUCAAGUUCUACUCACAGACAGAGAAUCUUGUAUAAGUUUAAGAUCUCCUCCUUAAGUUAUUGACCUAAAAAGACAAUGCCAGCUGGUGGGACAAUAUUUAUGACCACGAAAGCUCCAUUUCUGAAGACGCCCUCAGGAUUUUGGCGAGUCUAAAGAAGGGUUCUGAGGGAAGUGUGAAGCUAGCUGGCACCAAGCCAGCCAAUUAAUGCUACCUAAUGUGAAGCAAUUAAUGCUGCCAAAGUUAACAAAGUGAGCACCAAUUCGGUGCCACUUGCAGCACCAAUUGGUGCUCUUGUAUUUUGUAAGGCAAAGGCAAGGAAGCUUGCCUAUAAAUAGGCAGUGCAUCCUUGCCUUAUAAACACACCCAAGUAAGAGAGAAAGAAGAGAGAGUGAAGAGGGAAAGUAAUCCCAUAAAAUUGUAAGGUAUUUGUGAGAGAAUAAGUGAGGUGUUUUCUCCUAGUAAUAGAGAGAUUUUAGUUGUUCUUCUAUUAUUUGAGAGAGGUUGUAAUUCCCACAUUAGUUAGUAAAAUCCUUCUAUACUUGCCCGUGGACGUAGCCUAAUUGGGUGAACCACGUAAAUUCUUGCGUGUCUCAUUUCUCAUUUUAGCCUUUUGUCUUGUCGGGUUUGUAUGCCAGUAUCCUAACAGUGGUAUCAGAGCCUUCUUGGUUGGUGUUGUUAACACACAAAAGUUAUUCGUGUAUACGGUUACUAUUCACGUCUACGUCACUAUUCACCUAUACGACACUAUUCAUCCAUACGGUACUGUUCACUUACAUUACUGUUGACGUAUAUAGAAAGUCAGUGCGAUGAUUAAAUAUAUUCUAGGAAGUUAUAUCAAAGGAGAUUAGGUUUUAAGCGGGACCGUUUGUGCUCCAAUCUUUCCUGGGAACUUACUUAGUGAAGUAUUUUUCACACGAUACUAUUUCUAUAUACGUUACAGAUCUGUGAAACGGUGAUAGCUGAAUAGAUCACGGUGAAUAAAAUGGCAGCAAAGUACGAGAUUGAGAGGUUCAAGGGGAGCAAUUUCUCACUGUGGAAAAUGAGAAUCAAGGCAAUCUUAAGGAAAGACAAUUGCUUGGCAGCAAUUGGGGAUCGGCCCGCGGAGAUCAUUGAUGAUGCAAAAUGGAAUGAGAUGGAUGGCAAUGCUAUUGCUAACAUACAUUUAGCAUUAGCUGAUGAAGUAUUAUCAAGUGUGGCGGAGAAGAAAACAGCUAAGGAGAUAUGGGAGACUCUAACAAGCUAUACGAGUCCAAGUCUUUGCAUAAUAAGAUUUUCUUAAAGCGGAGACUUUAUACCCUUCGAAUGGCAGAAACCACGUCGGUGACUGACCACAUCAACACAAUAAGAACUCUAUUUUCACAACUCACUACGUUGGGUCAACAAAUAGAGGAAAUGAACGUGCAGAGCUUCUACUUCAAAGUCUUCCUGAUUCGUAUGAUCAGCUCAUUAUCAACUUGACCAAUAAUAUCCUCUCAGACUAUUUAGUCUUCGAUGAUGUUGCAGCUGCUAUCUUGGAAGAAGAAAAUAGGCGCAAAAACAAAGGAGACAGAAACAGUUCAAACCAAGCUGAGGCAUUGUUGGUUCAAGAGGAAGAUCAACGGAACGUGGCUCAGUGGGAGUCAAAGGCAGGGGAGGUCCAAAUCAAGAAGUAAGAAGAGGUGAAAUGCUACAACUGUGGCAGAAAAGGGCACUUCAAAAAGGAUUGUUGGUUUAAAAAGGGUAUAGAGAAUACUGCAGAGUCAUCAAAACCUCAAGGAUGUGUUGCAAGCACCUCAGAAGAUGGAGAGGUUUUAUAUAGUGAAGCAGCAACAAUCUCUACAGAUAGAGAAGAGCUCACUGAGGUCUGGCUAAUGGAUUCAGGAGCAACAUGGCAUAUGACUCCUAAUCGGGAUUGGUUCCAUACAUAUGAACCCAUGUCUGGAGGCACAGUGUUCAUGGGUGAUAAUCAUGUUUUAGAGAUUGAUGGCAUUGGCACCAUCAAAUUGAAGAUGUAUGAUGGCUUAAUUCGUACUAUUUCAGGAGUGCGACAUGUGAAAGACUUAAAGAAGAAUCUUUUGUCCGUAGGACAAUUUGAUAGUCUUGGCUGUAAGAUCCGAACAGACAAUGGAAUCAUGAAAAUUGUCAAAGGCGCGCUGGUGGUUUUAAAGGCAAGAAAGACAGUUGCAAACAUGUUUGUAUUAAUGGGAGAAACACAUCAGGGGCAGAAGCAUCAAUCGCAUCAGCCAGUCCUGCAGAAGAGAAGACGAUGAUGUGGCAUCAAAAACUAGGCCACAUGUCAGAGAAAGGUUUAAAGGUUCUCUCUGAUCAGAAGUUACUCCCUGGGCUUACAAAGGUUACUUUACCUUUUUGUGAGCACUGUGUUACAAGUAAACAACACAGGUUGAAGUUUGGCACGUCAACAACUAAGAGCAAAUGCAUCUUAGACCUGAUUCACUCUGAUGUUUGGCAAGCACCGGUUGUAUCCUUGGGAGGAGCAAGAUACUUUGUAUCAUUCAUAGAUGACUUCUCCAGGAGAUGUUGGGUGUAUCCGAUUAGAAGGAAGGCAGAUGUGUUCGCAGUUUUUAAAACCUUCAAAGCGCGGGUAGAACUUGAAUCUGAAAAGAAGAUCAAGUGUUUGAGGACUGACAAUGGAGGAGAAUAUACCAGUGAUGAAUUUGAUAACUUCUGUCAACAUGAAGGUAUCAAAAGGCAGUUCACAACGGCAUACACUCCACAACAAAAUGGAGUGGCAGAGCGGAUGAACAGAACUCUAUUGGAAAGAACAAGAGCAAUGUUGAAGGCUGCAGGUCUAGAAAAGUCAUUCUGGGCAGAAGCAGUCAAUACCGCCUGUUAUGUGAUAAAUCGAUCUCCGUCAACUGCAAUUGAGUUGAAGACACCGAUGGAGAUGUGGACUGGAAAGCCAGCUGAUUAUUCUCGAUUGCAUAUAUUUGGAAGUCCUGUGUACGUGAUGUACAAUACUCAAGAAGUCAGCAAGCUGGAUUCAAAAUCCAGAAAAUGUGUAUUCUUGGGAUAUGCUGAUGGAGUGAAGGGGUAUCGCUUGUGGGAUCCCACUGCCCACAAGGUAGUCAUCAGCAGAGAUGUCAUAUUUGCAGAAGAUAAAAUGCAAAUGGAAGAAAAUAAUAGCAUUUUAAAGGAGACUACAGAAGUCCAGAUGGAAAAUACUCAGAAUCAUACUUCUUCUGAAGCUGCACCAGAGCAUGAAGAACAAGAACAAAUAGAGUCUGAAACUCCUGAAGUUCGACGGUCAACUCGUGAAAGAAGACCACCGGCUUGGCACUCAGAAUAUGUUACUGAGAGCAACAUUGCAUACUGUCUUCUAACAGAGGAUGGAGAGCCAUCAACUUUCCAUGAGGCUAUCAAAAGCACAGAUGUAUCUAUGUGGAUGACAGCAAUGCAAGAGGAGAUUGAAGCUCUGCACAAGAAUAACACUUGGGAUCUUGUUCCGCUACCACAAGGAAGAAAGGCCAUUGGCAACAAAUGGGUUUACAAGAUAAAGCGUGAUGGCAAUGAUCAAGUGGAGCGGUAUCGUGCAAGAUUGGUGGUGAAAGGAUAUGCUCAGAAAGAAGGAAUAGACUUUAAUGAGAUAUUUUCUCCGGUGGUACGACUUACUACAAUCAGAGUAGUCUUGGCAUGUGUGCUAUAUUUGAUCUUCACUUAGAGCAGUUAGAUGUGAAAACUGCAUUUCUUCAUGGAGAACUUGAAGAAGAAAUUUAUAUGCUCCAACCAGAGGGUUUUGCUGAAACAGGCAAGGAGAACUUGGUUUGCAGGUUGAACAAAUCUCUAUACGGUCUCAAACAGGCGCCGAGGUGUUGGUACAAGAGAUUUGAUUCCUUCAUAAUUAGCCUUGGGUACAACAGACUCAGUUCAGACCAUUGUACGUAUUACAAGAGGUUUGAAGAAAAUGAUGUUUUCAUCAUUCUGUUGUUGUACGUGGAUGACAUGUUGGUAAUAGGCCCCAACAAAGAUCGAGUCCAAGAAUUGAAGGCACAGUUGGCUAGGGAGUUUGAUAUGAAGGACUUGGGACCAGCAAACAAGAUUCUAGGGAUGCAAAUUCACCGAGACAGAAGUAAGAGGAAGAUUUGGCUUUCUCAGAAGAAUUAUUUGAAGAAGAUCUUGCGACGCUUCAACAUGCAAGAUUGUAAGCCAAUUUCCACCCCACUUCCUAUUAACUUCAAAUUAUCCUCAAGUAUGUCUCCUAGCAAUGAAGCAGAGAGGAUGGAGAUGUCUCGAGUACCGUAUGCAUCAGCAGUGGGAAGUUUAAUGUUUGCCAUGAUAUGUACAAGACCAGACAUUGCACAAGCAGUGGGAGCAGCUAGUCGAUACAUGGCAAAUCCUGGUAGAGAGCAUUGGAAUACUAUUAAGAGGAUCUUGAGAUACAUCAAGGGUACCUCAGAUGCCGCAUUAUGUUAUGGAGGAUCAGAAUUUACUGUCAGAGGUUAUGUUGAUUCAGAUUUUGCUGGUGACCUUGAGAAAAGAAAAUCCACUACAGGCUAUGUGUUCAUAAUUGCAGGAGGAGCUGUGAGCUGGGUCUCUAAACUUCAGACUGUUGUAGCGUUAUCCACAACAGAAGCUGAGUAUAUGGCAGCUACACAAGCUUGUAAAGAAGCAAUAUGGAUGAAGAAACUUAUGGAGGAGCUCGGGCACAAACAAGAGAAGAUUCUUUUGUAUUGUGAUAGUCAGAGUGCCUUGCAUAUUGCAAGGAAUCCAGCGUUUCAUUCAAGAACAAAACAUAUAGAUGUUCAGUAUCACUUUGUUCGCGAAGUGGUGGAAGAUGGAAGUGUGGAUUUUCAGAAGGUUCACACAAAGGAAAACCCAGCAGAUGCUUUGACCAAACUAGUCAACACUGACAAGUACAUAUGGUGCAGAUCCUCUUAUGACCUAGCAGAAACGUAAGCAGCAUGAAGAUGGCAAGUAUUGAAAGGAUAGAAGAAUCACAAAUGAUCAAGUGUGAAGACUUGAUUAAAUCAUCAAAGUCUUCAAGUGGGAGAAUGUGAAGCUAGCUGGCACCAAGCCAGCCAAUUAAUGCUACCUAAUGUGAAGCAAUUAAUGCUACCUACUAGCACCAAUUGGUGCUGCCAAAGUCAACAAAGUGAGCACCAAUUGGUGCUGCCAAAGUCAACAAAGUGAGCACCAAUUCGGUGCCACUUGCAGCACCAAUUGGUGCUCUUGUAUUUUGUAAGACAAAGGCAAGGAAGCUUGCCUAUAAAUAGGCAGUGCAUCCUUGCCUUAUAAACACACCAAGUAAGAGAGAAAGAAGAGAGAGUAAAGAGGGAAAGUAAUCCCACAAAAUUGUGAGGUAUUUGUGAGAGAGUAAGUGAGGUGUUUUCUCCUAGUAAUAGAGAGAUUUUAGUUGUUCUUCUAUUAUUUGAGAGAGGUUGUAAUUCCCACAUUAGUUAGUAAAAUCCUUCUAUACUUGCCCGUGGACGUAGCCUAAUUGGAUGAACCACGUAAAUUCUUGCGUGUCUCAUUUCUCAUUUUAGCCUUUUGUCUUGUCGGGUUUGCAUGCCAGUAUUAGAAUUCCAUAACUUCCAUGCCUAUGGUAUAACAACGCAAAUGAUGCAUCAUUAGUGUGGACACUAGGAAAGUAGUCAAAUACAAAUCAAAAUGGAAGAAAAAGAAAUAAGCGUAUAUGAAAGCUCCCCACAUGUCCAAGAAGAUUGACGGAGUCGCUGUGGUAGAAAUUAGUAUUCUUCCUGCCGCUUACAAUCUCAAGUACCAUCACCCCGAAGCUAAACACAUCAGAUUUUAUCGAGAAGAGGCCCUCCAUAGCAUAUUCAGGGGACAUAUAGCCACUAAAAAUUGGAAAGGUCAGUGCAGAUCAUGUUAAGAGUAGCUGUUACUGGAAGGUGGAAUUCAAGAAACUUACUAUGUCCCAACGAUCCUGUUGGUGUUUGCUUGAGUUUCGUUGCCUCCGAAAAUUCGAGCCAUCCCGAAAUCAGAUAUUUUUGGAUUCAUUUCACUGUCUAAUAGAAUGUUGCUAGGCUUUAAAUCCCUGUGAAUGAUUCGUAACCGUGAAUAUCUAUGUAGAUACAAAAGGCCUUGAGCAAUUCCUUCGAUUAUCCGAAUCCGUGUACCCCAAUCUAGGAUUUGUCCUCUGUUUGCAUCUGUUUAUAGUUUAUACACAAAUCUGAUAUAAAUUUCUUGAAUGAUUAAAAUGGUAUUAGAAUGAUUAAAAUGUUUUAUGGUGAUGAGAUGGUUGUGAUAGUGAUUACUGAUUAUGAUUAUAGUGGUAAUAAAGGUUCAGGUGGGGAUGGAGGGGUGGUGGUGGUGGUUGUGAUAAUUGUGGUAUGAUGAUGGCGGCAGUAGCAACAAGGAUGGUAGCAGACACCGCGUUAGUAGUUACAGUGGAGGUCCUGGCAGCAAGGUAGUGGUGGUUGAAAUCAUUGCAUGAUAUUGUGAGUAGAUCAGUGUUAGUAAAAUAUUUUAUAGAAAUUUGUAAGGUGAAAAUUACUUUUAAGUUUAAUGAUAAACUGUAAAUUUUAAGGGAAACAAGUCUCUAUUUCAACAAGUCUCUAGUGAAUAUCAUAUAUAUAUAUUUCAGUGAAACUCUUAACACAAAACAGUCUCUAUUUCAACACACACACACACACAAAACUAACUCCAACAAAAUGAACCUUAUUAUCUGCAUAGCUAACACAUAAUCACAAAGCAGGGCUUUUUCGUACUUUUCAUCACUUUAACUUAAGGGUUAAUUAAGUCUACCAGGAGACAGCAGAAAUUAAAGCAAGAACAGGAUGUACCUUUGUGUAUGAGCUUUCCCUUGCGCAGACAGCUGAAGUAUAUGAAGAGGCCUAAGGUAAUCAGAGUUACUGGAACAGCCACAACCAAGGUUACCCAUAUUAUCCUUCUGAUAUUACCUACUUGAAAACAUAGAUCAAAUAUUAACCAAAUCAUAAACCAACACAUUUACAAUUAAAAGUUUUUUUGAAGUAGAAAAAAAUGGAAAGAUAGGUUAUGUAGGGACAUUGCGUCCACCCUUUUAUCUGGAAAGACUACACCUUAUUUUGUGAAAAAUAGUUGCUCAACAUUUAUUGGAUCAUUUAUGGCUAUAUAGAUACAACCUUUUUACCAUACCUAUUCCGCUACUCCCACUACCAGUCUCAAGUUCAAGCUCAGAAGCAGCAAAUCUGAUGUAAAUUUCUGCUUCAGUCCUGCCACCAGCAACCUCUGCCCGUUGUAAGUUUAUAAGAGCUCCAUCCCAUAAAAGACACUCACCAUUAUUAUCAUUAUAGGCAUAAGCCAUGCAAGAACAAUUUUCAAUGCAAUCCAAUUUGCAUCUUUCAUAACUCACUUUCUGAUAUGCUUUUGAAAUCCCUGUAAAUGAUUCGUAAAAACCCAUCAUUUGACACUGCAAUAUUUUUCCUAUGUUGACAAUGCAAAGGAGACAUCCUAAGGCAACCGCUUGACCAAUCAUUUGCUACAAAUGGUCUAAAACCUCUGAGACAUCCACAAGGAGUUGAUGAAUUUACAUGAAAGACUCCAAAAGCCCCGCAUAAACCAUAAACAUCAGCUGGGUCCCUUGGUUGAGACCAAAAAAGAAACCAAUCCCCAAAAUCUCCCAAAGAACUGAAUUGUUUGAUCUGUCCUGAAACAUCAAUCACUGUUCUUGAAAGAACUGAGGUAUUGUACAAAGAAUAGGUGAAAUAGCUUUCAUUUUCAUUUGAUACAUAACUAUAAUUGAAAAUAUAGUUCAAUCUCAUCUCAGGUACCAAGGUAAAUCUUUCUCCAUUCCAAUCACCACUGCUCCAAUACCUGUGUGACAUGUUCCACUCUAUGAAAAACUGACUACUUCCAUUUGGGUCGAUCCCAAUCGAGAACAUACCUGGUGCAGGAUCUUCUGGGUUUUUCCAUGAAAUAAGCCGCUGCACUUGCCCAGUGUGCUUGUUGAUUCCAAGCUUUCCACCAGGAAGCCAUGUGUCAGUUGGAUAAUCAAAACUCUGCCAGUAUAUGGUAGAUGGAUUUGAGCCAUCUCUUACGACAAAGUUUCCAUCGUCAAGAAUUACUGCUUCUGCUUUACUAGUAUUCGGCACUGAGGAUGCAAGAGCUGUUGACCAAACUGUUUCGGUGAAAUUUUUCAGCAGGACAAGAUUGCCAUCAGAUAACAAUUCAAGCUUCGAUGAAGCAGUGUUGUUGGAAGGGCUCUCCCUAUUUGCUACCCAAACAAUCGUCUUAUUUGCGAAGUUCUUAUACCAUAUUCCUAGGUAAAUGCUUAAAGAAGCGGCUGGCUUGAAGAAACCGAGUUCAAAAAUGCCGUUUUGAGAUAUUAGAGUUUGGUUUGCAGAGAGAGAUUGGCCAACCAAAAGGGUGUCAUCUCCAAUUGAGAAGCAAGUCCUAUGGUAAACGAAUAGCAACAAAAGCAGAAAGAGCCAGAAACAAGGCUUUGUCUUAACACACAUCCUCUCUAAUUUGUGGGAUUAUGCGUGUAAGAAAUGUAACUGAGAAUGAACCAGAGAACGAGGGAUGAAAACAAAGAAGAAAUCCCUUGCGAUUUCAACAAGUAUACGAAAGCUUUCUUUGAUCAUAUUGUUGCUACCAACUCUCCCUGCAAUUUUUCACUUUGACUACGGCAUUUCACGUUUUAGUCAUGUGAUGACGACAUGUGGGUUGAAUUGUCAAAUUACAUUGAGAAUAUCACUAAUAUAAGGCAUUAAAGAAACUUUAAAAUGAAAACUUUUAUAUGGUAUGUUUUUUGUUUUUUGUUUAUUGUUUUUACUUAAAACCAUGUCCAAAACACGCUUGUCUUCAAAGUUAUUCUAUAUAUUCUUACAUGAAUAAAUUCUGUAUAUUUCGCUCAUCUUAAGGUAUUACCUUUUUUAAUUUAUUAUUCUUUGUUUCUUAAGAAAAAAAUCUCACAUAGUCAAAUAAAACCACGUGCAGAAACAACCACAGUAGUAGUCAACUUUAAUUAUUGAAAUGCCUGUUCAUAAUAAAGUUCGAUUAGAGCGUGUUAGAUUUAGGACCAUUAUUACAGGACCUUUGAAAGUCAUUGAUAAAUAUAUGUAGUUAAAGUAGUCUGUCGUAUGUGUAAAAAAUCUCAAAUUUAGUUAAUGCCAGCACAGAGAAUCCAUCAAAUUCCCACUCUAGCUCUUGCAUCAUCAAAUAUCUAAUAUAGCAUCCAGAAACCAAAAAUCAUAUAACAAAACAGGAAUUUUUCUUUUGAUGAAAGAAGGAUUUUCAUUUAUCAAAGAACAACUUGACAGGAAAAUUCUACUUUCAAACAUAGAAUCUUUUGCGAGGACGUACAAAACAAGCAAACAUACGUGCUAUUGUCAGAUAUCUAGUGGCAACUCCUUGAUUGUGUUCCUUGCAAACAUAAUAAAUGUAACCACACCAGGCAAUCUUCAACGUGACAGCACCCCUUCUUAAGCAAAACCUGUUCGGUCCAAAGGAAUUCAGUAGACAAGUCACUUAGUUGUGGGAUUUUUCACUGAGCUGAGGCGGAUUCUACCAAAUUCCUUUAAUGAGAGGACUAUUUUCUAAGUUUAAGAUAUCUUAAAGAUACUGACGUAAAAAGAAAAUGUCAGCUAGCGGACAUUUAUGGCCACGAAAGCUCCAUUUAUGAAGACACUCUCGGGAUUUUAGUGAGUCUAAAGAAGGGUUUUGAGGGAAGGAAGAGGGGGGACUGAGGUGAAGAGAAGGGCUUUGUGUGUGUUUUGAUAGUCAAAAAAGAUUUGGACCACCAGUAUACCUUUAUGCACAAUAAAACGAUGUCUUAUGAGGACUGUUGACACUUCAUUUGGUCUUCGGUAAACCCUUAAAGAUUGAAACUUUAUUCUUCGUUAAAUACUAAAACAUCAAAUCCAUAGAGGAAAAUCACUCCUUUUUCCAAUUCUUGAAAGAAUACAUCCACUUGCAUGGGGGCAGGGGAGCUCAAAGACAUUGCAUACCCUAUCUUGUCAUGAAAGUCUGCAGACUCCGGAGGGUGUCUAGGCACUGCUUAAAGCAUCAGUAUCACCUUCGCCAUCAUUCGCGGAUGAGUAGGGUGUAACUACUACUACCAUGUAUCCCAUGGCCCUGGCCGUAAUAUGUAUCAUAAUAUGCUGGUGAAAAGGCAAGUUGCAGCCUCUAUAGCCAGGUGAAUCCUCAUAGAAUCAACCCUUCAUGAGAAAUAACACAGAGUCUGCUCCCGGUGGGCUGUGAUGUAGUGGAUUGGGGAAAGAAAAAAGUGAAAAACGGUUGAAAGAGUGUGUUGUCGAUUGAGUGGCCAGGAACCUCCGUUGUUUCCACAACCAAAUGCUAAACCCAGCCAAAUAAAGGAAAUGACACCAUGAGGGGAGAAGAAAAGGGAGAUGAAACUGAAAGUCAAAAGGAAAAAUCAAGUUCAAAUUCCAGAAAGAGGAGUUACAGUGAGACGAGUAUGGAAGCAGGGGCAAACGAAGUCACAAGCCAGGCAGCAUAUAAAGUGGCAGGCAAAUAUUUUGAUCCUUCAUGGGUACAAGAAGGCUCUAAUAAAUCCCCUCGAUCAACUUCGAAGACUUGAACCUUUACUUAAACUGCGUUGUGUUACAGAAGUGACUGUAAACACGGUGAUCCUUCAGUUUUCUGUUACAUCCUAUAAUCUUUCAUUCACCAUACAGUAAACCGGAGAUUGUUAGGACAUCCCUGUGAGUAAUUUUUUCUUUUCCUUUCUGAUGAAUUCCUGGAUGUGAACGUAGUAGUAUCACAAGGUAGUGGCAUUUUUACCUCAGCUGAUAUGUCUAUGAUUUUUCUUGUAUGCUCUCCAUUUUAGUUUAUGUUUAAUCAUAAUCCAUCUAUUCUUGAUUGUGGAGCGUUCAGUCUCUCAGUCAGAGAACAUAAGCUAGGAAAUCUCGAAUUGAAAUUUUCUUAGUAAAUGAAGCAUAAUUUGCUAUGCUUUGAUGGCUAAGGACAUUGCUUCAGGAUGUGGGGAUCUCUUCAUUCUCCUGUACGUUAGCCCCAAUGACAUUUGGGAAUUUAUAAGGAAAUCCCUGGGUCACAGACUCUCAACCUGUUACCGUACAUGAUUUAGACACUUGUACAAUUUAGAACUCUAUUAAUAUUAGCUGUACAUAUUAUCUUUCCAUGUAUAGAUGCUGAAUAUUAGGAAUCAAUGAGACUCCAUGUAAAGGAAAACACUCACGUAUAAGAAGUCAAACAGGGAACUGACAGAGGGAGUUUUUCCAAAAACAAAAGCUCACUCGGAAUUCUUGUUUUCUCAAUAUAUUGACAUGGUAUCAGAGCAGGUUCUGAAUCCUUGUCUGUUUUGAUCUUCUUCUCUUGAAGGUGUCUAUGUGACUUUUGGCGCUGCCUGUGCAAGUUGUUUGCCUUUGUUGUGACCUCUCGACAGUCUCUGUGCUAUUCCUGGUUUGGUUUUCACUCUUUACAGUUCUGAUGUUCUUGGCUUGGCUUUAAUUCUCAGUAGUAUUUAUUUUGAUUCCUGGUUUAUUCAUCUUUCGGCAAUCUCUGUUUGGUUCCUGGUUUGGAAUUACUUGGCACUUUCUGUUGAGUUUCUAGUGUGCAAUCUUCUAGUGGGCUAUUUUUCUUUCGGGUUCAUCAUGUUAUCAGAUAGGUUAGACUCGUUCCAUAUUCGUUUUAAUGGCAAAAAUUAUUCUGCUUGGGAGUUUCAAUUUAAAUUAUUUGUCAAAGGGAAAAAAUUGUGGGGUCAUAUUGAUGGGAGUAAUCCGGCACCUAAAGAUGCUGAUGCUUUGUCUAAAUGGAAAAUCAUGGAUGCUCGGGUUAUUUCCUGGAUCCUUAGCUCAAUAGAGCCUCACCUUGUUCUCAAUUUGAGGCCUUAUAAAACUGUUGCUUUCAUGUGGAAUUAUCUAAAUAAGGUUUACAAUCAAGACAACACGGCUCAACGUUUUCAAUUGGAGUAUGAGAUGGCUAACUUCACACAGGGAAGUCUCUCCAUUGAGGAAUAUUUUUCUGGUUUUCAAAAUCUUUAGGCUAAUUAUUCAGAUAUUGUUUAUGCUAAUGUUCCUGCUGCAGCUCUCUCUGCUGUUCAAGCAAUCCAUGAAACAAGCAAGAGAGAUCAAUUUUUUAUGAAGCUCCGUCCUGAUUUUGAAACUGCACGUUCCAAUCUGAUGAAUCAUCAUCCUGUACCAUCUUUGGAUGCCUGUUUGAGUGAACUUCUUCAUGAGGAGCAGCGUCUCGUCACUCAGGCUGCUAUGGAACAUCGUGCUAAUGUUAGUGCACCUAUUUCUGUGGCUUAUACAACACAAGGGAGGAAUAAGGGUAGAGACAUGCAUGUUGUCCAGUGCUUUAGUUGUAAGGCUUUUGGUCAUAUUGCUAGGGAUUGCCCUAAGAAGUUCUGUAACUACUGCAAGAAACAAGGUCAUAUUAUCUCUACUUGUCCCAUUCGACCUGAAAGGAAACAUGGUACUGCUUAUCAUGCCUCAAUGGGUGCCUCUAGUUCUGCUGCAUUCCCUACUGCCUCGCCUGUUGUUCCUAUAGCAAACCCGAAUAUACUUACUCCUGAAAUGGUACAACAAAUGAUCAUUUCUGCUCUUUCUGCUUUUGGGUUCUCAGGUAAUUAUAAAUUUCCUUCUAAACCAUGGUAUUUGGACUCCAGUGCCUCUAACCACAUGACCAAUACUGCUGUUUCUCUUGCCAAUGUUAUAAAUUAUGAUGGUAAUCUGAAAAUUAAUACCGAUGAUAGCAAUUCUCUGCCUAUCAGUGUUAUUGGUGAUCUUUCUCCUUCCUUGACUGAUGUUUUUGUGUCUCCUAAUCUCUCCACAAAUCUUAUUUCUGUUGGUCAAUUGGUUGAUAAUAAUUGUGAUGUCCAUUUCUUCCAUUCUGGUUGUGUGGUACAGGAUCAAGUGUCAGGGAAAAUGAUCGUGAAGGGGCCUAAAGUGGAAUGACUCUUUCCUUUUUACAUUUCUCCUUCUACUAUUAUUCCUAGUUUUCCUUUACUUUAUUUUGCAUGUAAUGUUAUUGGUUCUGGACAUAAAAUGUGGCAUAAACGUCUAGGCCACCCAAACUCAGAUGUACUUCGCACUUUGUUUAAUUCUGGAUUAUUGGGAAAUAAAGCAUGUUCUUCUCUUGAUCUUUCUUUUGAUUGUACAUCAUGCAAACUUGGCAAAAGUAAAGUUCUACCUUUUCCUCAUCAUGCAUCUCGUGCCUCUCAAUGUUUCGAUAUUAUUCAUAGUGAUGUUUGGGGGAUUGCACCUGUUGUUUCUCAUGCGCAUUACAAGUACUUUGUUACUUUUAUUGAUGACUUGUCGCUUUACUUGGGUUUACUUUCUCCGGGCUAAAGCUGAAGUUUUUUCAGUCUUUAAGCGAUUUCUUGCACUUCUUGAGACUCAAUUCUCUGCCAGCAUCAAAAUCUUGCGCUUUGAUUCUGGCGGUGAAUACAUGUCAAAUGAGUUUCAGGACCUUCUUCAAAGCAAAGGGAUCAUCUCCCAACGUUCUUGUCCUUCGACACCACAGCAAAAUGGUGUCGCUGAGAGGAAAAAUUGUCACCUUCUUGAUAUGGUAAGAACUCUUUUACUUGAAUCAUCUGUUCCUCCUCGUUUUUGGUGUGAAGCACUUUCUACUUCAGUUCACUUGAUCAAUCGCUUACCCUCUCCUACAUUAAAUCAUGUUUCUCCUUUCUUUAAGUUGUUUGGUCAUUCUCCUUUAUAUUCUGAUCUUCGCACAUUUGGUUGUGGUUUUUUUGUGCAUCUCCUUGCUCAUGAACGACAUAAACUCACUACUUAGUUUGUUAGGUGUGUUUUUCUUGGUUAUGCUAUCCCUCAAAAGGGUUAUGUUUGUUAUGACCCUCAUGUUUGUCGUAUACGAGUUUCUAGGAAUGUGAUUUUCUUUGAAAAUCAAUAUUUCUUUCCAUCUCAUGUUGAGUUGCCAUCUGCUUCUUUACCCCUUUUGCCUAGUUUUUUUUAUUCCCCCUGUGGAAAGGUUCAAACCUGGUUUUGUAUAUGAAAGACGUCGUCGACAUGAGUCUGAUUCCACUUCCUCUGUGCCCCUUUCCGAUCUUGACCCGGUGCCUGAUCCUGCUCCAACUUCCACCACUCUUCGUCGGUCUACUCGCCUUUCUCGACCCCCUGAUUGGUAUGAAUUCUUCUCUCCUGUCUCUCUUGUCGCUACUUUAUCCACUAUUUCCAUUCCCUCUUGCUAUAAACAGGCUAUGGAACAUAAGUGUUGGCAAAAUGCAAUGCAAGCAGAACUUCAAGCACUUAAGAGAAUCACACUUGGGAUAUUGUUCCUUAUCCUCCUUUGGUCAAACCUAUUGGGAGUAAAUGGGUUUUCUCUGUAAAACUUCGUUCUGAUGGCUCUUUGGAUCGGUACAAAGCUCGCCUCGUAGCUCUGGGUUACCAGCAAGAAUAUGGGGUUGACUAUGAGGAGACAUUUGCUCCUGUUGCCAAAAUGACCACGAUUCGAACCAUCUUAGCUAUUGCCGCUUCACAGUCAUGGCAACUGCAUCAGAUGGAUGUGAAGAAGGCUUUUCUUCAUGGUGAUCUCCAUGAAGAGAUUACAUGAAUCUUCCCUCUGGUAUGACUACUUCUUCUCCUCAUGAUGUCUGUAAGCUAAAGCGUUCUUUAUAUGGGCUUAAGCAAGCGCCUCGGGCUUGGUUUGAGAAGUUUCGCAGUGCACUUCUUUCCUUUCAUUUUACACAAAGUCAUUAUGACUCUUCUCUCUUCUUCCAUAGAUCUGUGUCGGGUAUAGUCCUUCUAUUGAUUUAUGUGGAUGAUAUUAUCAUUACUGGCACUGACUGUGGUUUGAUUACUAAGCUUCAACAGCAAUUACAUUCAACUUUCCAUAUGAAAGAUCUUGGUCAGCUCACAUAUUUCUUAGGAUUGGAAGUUCAUCAUCGGGCUAAUGGUAUUUUCGUGAACCAGCAUAAGUAUAUUCAAGAUCUUAUCACUUUGGCUGGUUUGGAGGACACUUCUUCGGUUGAUACUCCUAUGGAGGUUGGCUUUCCCAUUUCGGUGAUGCCCUAUCAAUAAGAGAAGGGCAACUUGUUAUACAGAGAGAUUCUUUGAGAACAUAACUAACCUGUAAGCAUUGCUAGUGUAAUACUCUGUUGUAUAUCCAAUCACAAGUCCAGCCCACAAGCCAAUGGCAACACAAAAGAAAAGGUGCCUGCAGUAACAUGUAAUUCAAUCAAGAAAAUGGAAUGCUACAAAAUGUUCCAUGGGAAAAGGAAAUAGACUUUUUCGGUGGGUAGCGUACCAGUUCUUGACAACCUUCUCAGUUCCGAAAUUGAAGAUAGUGAAUUCUGAUGGCAAAGCAAAGAAGCUGACCAUGGCAAUCCCAACAGUCAUCAUAAUUGUUGAGACAACGAGUUGCCUCUUCAGUGAUGGCUCAAUUUCACUUACGUCCUUGAUCUUGAAGAGAUCGGUUGCAAAAAGUGUAGUUAUCAGGCAAACUACAAUCCCAACUGAGCUUAUGAUCAGUGGAAAAGACAUGGCUGUGUAGUCAUGGCUAAUACCAAAGGAUGAUAUAGAUGCAACAAAAAGUGCUGCACAGGAUGAUUCAGCAUAAGAUCCAAACAGGUCAGACCCCAUCCCUGCAAUGUCUCCUACGUUGUCACCCACAUUAUCGGCAAUAACCUGCAUAGAAACCAUAAAUCCAUUGCAACCAAUCGAAGUAAAUAGCAUGAAGGAUAAGACUUUGAUCGUGUAAUUAGUUAAAGAGAGUGUUAAAGGGGUUCACGGAGAUUACAGCUGGAUUUCUUGGAUCAUCUUCAGGGAAGUUUAGUUCAACUUUUCCAACAAGGUCAGCGCCAACAUCAGCUGCUUUUGUAUAUAUUCCUCCUCCAACUCUUCCAAACAGCGCCAUUGAUGAACCUCCAAGGCCAUAACCAGUAAUGGACUCAUAAAGUCCUUCCCAGUCAUCUCCAUAGUAGAGUUUGAAUAAGAGGAUGGAGAUAUAGAGCACCAAAAGACCAUUCGCAGCAAGAAGGAAACCCAUCACCGCCCCCGAACGAAAAGCCGUGACAAAGGCCUUUCCUACACCCUUCCUUGCUUCUAGAGUUGUCCUAGCGUUGGCAUAGGUUGCAAUCUUCAUGCCUAGGAAUCCUGAGAGGACAGAAGUAAGAGCACCAAGCAAGAAAGCAAUGGUGCUAAAGGUAGCAUUGGCAAGAGCUGGUUUACAAAGACUCCCUUUGUUGUAUGUGCAAGCUUCACUUUUGGUACUGAAUCCCUUAACUGAACCAAGGAAGAGGAAAAUAAUGGCAGCAAAAACACACAUGAAGACACUGAGGUACUUGUACUGAGUAAACAAGAAUGUGGUUGCCCCUGGAAACAGAUCAGGUCAAAUAAAGAUCACAAUUCUCCAAAAAGUUUCAUCAUCAAUGCAAGAACAUCAGAGGCAGCAUCUUAUACUCGUUUAAAACUUAACCAGAAGCACCAAAAUCCAUCAAAAUAUGGGUCAAACCUAUGCACUUGAAAUUUAAACAUUACCUGCAUGCCGAUGAUUGGGAAAUACUCUUUCCAAUUCUAGUGUCAGCACUCAAAGUCAAUAAUUUUGAAGAUUUCCUUCAGACAGGUUUAAGGGAAGGGAAGUGGGGAUACAUGUAAGAAAAUAAAGAUCACACAGGCAAUCCAGAGAGGCAACAAUAGGAACUUCAAGUUGUCAAUCACAAAAGACUAGUUUGUGAUAUCUUUAGCCUAAGAUAAUGGAACUCAUCGUCCUAAAUCAGAUCUGCUAUCUUCACCAGAUGAUCAUCAAUGUUAUUAGCCGGUAUGUAGAAUAUUAAACUCAAUAUAUCCAGAAGCUCCCAGAAGGUCAAGUUUGGCAACCAGCCACCAGCCGCCGACCAGCCACCAGCCGCAGCCGCCAGCCGCCUUCACACCUGGAACAAUAGAUUUUCGUAUUCUGAUUUUGUCUAUAAAUAAAGUGCCCAGCUUGUGUUUAUUUGUGUAAGCAAAGCAAAAACAAUCCCAAUCAAAGCAGCAACAGGUAUCAAAACCUGCGUAAGGCCUUCACUCAACAUCCCCAUUUCCAGAUGGCUCACUAGCAGUCACUUCAGCUUCUUCAACAGUGAGAAUUAUACCAGCACAGAUGCAGACAGAACAAGAACUUAGCUUUGGGCACUGCCCUAUAAAACUACAGGCACAGAAAGUACAUUAUCCAGAAAGAUAUUAAUUGUCAGAAUACUUGAUUGGUCCAUGGAAUCUGAAAAAGAAAGAGAACUGGUUGGUUUGUGAUGCAGACAAACAACGGAACUCACACGCGUUCUAACACACAAGGUUUUUUCAAUCUGUAAUUCCGUAGAAGAACAAAGAAAGAAAGAAUUCUGAGUUAACUACUCAAAGGAGUUUUGGUUUUUUUUUGUUUAUUAUUCUCCCCCUUUCACAAAGAGCUUACAACCGAAUAAAUAGAAGAAACAGAAUUCCUAGAGUUCUAAAACAGCCUCAUUAAGUCAGGAAACAGUCCAGAAUUAAUGAGGAAAUAAAAGCUAAAAUAACGGAACGAAACGUCCUGAAUUAUUAGAGCAAGUAAAAGCUAAUUACUGAAAUGAAAAGAAACUCCAACUGUUACGUAAGAAAGUUUAACGUUCUUGAUUGUGCAACAAUAGUCAGCCCUUUUGAUGACUUGCUCUUCGGUCCACAUCAUCCUCCCCAAGCUGAGAAGAAUUCGACCACGAAUUCGGGAGAUCUUCCUCCUCUGAUGACAAAUCCCCGUGGAAAGGAAACAAGUGUUUGACAUUAAAUACAUCUGCUGUUCGAAGAUGACUGGGCAGCUUGAGGCGGUAGGCAUUGGAAUUAAUUUUCUCAAUAAUCUCUACUGGACCAAUCUUGCGUGCGGAAAGUUUAUUAUACUCGCCUAUAGGAAAGCGAUCCUUCGUUAGCACAGCCCAAACAAGGUCCCCCACCUCAAAAUUGACAAGACGCCGCUUGCGGUCCGCAUUGUGUUUAAAUUUGGCAAUAGAUUCCAGUAAAUUCUCUCGGGUGAGGUUGUGAAUGUCCUGCAGCUGGGUGACAAAAUCCUCUGCCUUGUGAUGAACUUUUGUGUUGUUUGGGAGGUUAGCCAAGUCAAGUGGACAUCGUGGGAGAAAGCCGUACACAAUUUUGAAGGGGCUGAGCUUGGUGCUUCGAUUGACUGCAUGGUUAUGAGCAAACUCUGCUUGGCCAAGUUUCUUGUCCCAAGAUUUUAACUGGUCACCCACCAAACUACGAAGGAGAUUACCCAACGAUCGGUUCACCACCUCGGUUUGUCCAUCGAACUGAGGAUGAUAAGCACUACUGAAGUUCAGGCGAGUAUUAACCAUUCUCCAAAGACUCCGCCAGAAAUGGCUCAGGAAACGAGUGUCCCUAUCUGACACAAUUGAUUCUGGCAGCCCAUGCAAUCGAUAAACUUCGCGAAAGAAUAACUCAGCCACAUUAACAGCAUCUGUUGUUUUCUUGCAUGGUAUAAAGUGAACCAUUUUUGAAAAUCUGUCGACUACUACGAAAAUGGAGUCGAAUCCGCGUUGUGUACGUGGGAGGCCUAGAACAAAAUCCAUGCUGAUGUCGGUCCAUGGUCGUACUGGAACAGGAAGUGGCAUGUAUAAACCAGCAUUGGAGGCUCCUCCCUUGGCCACGUGACAGAUCCUACAACGUUCAACAAAACGACCAAUCUCUUUCCGCAUGGAUGGCCAGAAAUAUGAGGCAGCCACAAGUAAAUAAGUUCGGUCUCUUCCUACAUGUCCUUCUCUGUGCAGUUCUUGAAUGAUCUUAGUUCGGAGACUACACUCAGGUAUACAUAGUUGAGUGCCUUUGAAGACGAAUCCAUCAUGGAGGACAAAGUCACUCUGUUGGUUGUUCUGAAUGCUCUCUAGUACAGCAGCAAAAAAAGGGUCAGAUGCAUACAAAUUUUGAAAAGAGUCGAAACCCAUUACUGUGAUUCGCAUAUCAACCAGCAUAGUCUUUCGGCGACUGAGGGCAUCAGCCACCCGGUUCAGUGUACCAGCCUUGUGCUUGAUGACAAAUGUAAAUUGUUGUAAAUACGCAGCCCAAGAUGCAUGCCGGGAUGAUAUCUUAUCUUGACUCCCCAUAUGUUUGAGGGCAUCGUGGUCAGUAAAUAGGACGAACUCCUGAAGAAACAGAUAAUGUCGCCAAUGUCUCAUUACUUGAACCACUGCAUAAAAUUCAGUAUCAUAGGUGCUAUACCGUAAUUUUGCCCCUGAAAGCUUCUCACUGAAGAAGGCUACAGGCCGGCCAUUUUGACUCAGAACUGCUCCGAUUCCUAGCUUUGAGGCGUCACAGUGUAGCUCAAAUGGGUUUGAAAAAUCUGGGAGAACAAGUACUGGGGCGGUGGUUAAUCUCCUUUUGAUUUCUUGGAAGGCUGUUUCGGCCUCAUGUGUCCACAUAAACUUACUAUUGUUCUUCAUACAGUCAGUCACUGGGGCCAUUAUGCCGCUGAAGUGAGGAAUGAAGCGGCGGUAGAAUGAUGCCAGCCCGUGGAAGCUUCGAACGUCAGUCAUGGUUUGAGGUUGUGGCCACUGUUUGAUUGCUUCAAUUUUUGACUCGUCUACCGAAAGCCCCUUAGAAGACACAAUGUAUCCCAAAAAUAAGACCUGGUCACUUAAGAACACACACUUUCUUUUUGCUGCGAAGAAUUGUUCUUUACGUAACACGGUCAAAACUUCCCGAAGAUGUUGUAGGUGCAUCCUAGGAUCAACACUGUAAAUUAAAAUGUCAUCAAAAUAAACCACCACGCUCUUACCAAUGUAAGGCCGCAAGGCUUGAUUCAUCACUCGCAUGAACGUGCUUGGGGCAUUAGACAGUCCGAACGGCAUGACCAUCCAUUCAAAGAGUCCUUCUCGAGUUUUGAAGGCCGUCUUCCAUUCAUCUCCCGGUCGGAUACGAAUCUGGUGAUAUCCGCUCUUCAAGUCUAGCUUCGUGAAUAUUGUGGCUCCACUCAAUUGAUCCAGCAAAUCAUCUAACCGCGGAAUUGGAAACCUGUAACGUACCGUAAUUUUAUUAAUUGCUCUGCUGUCGACACACAUUCUCCACGUGCCAUCUUUUUUUGGGGUUAAAAGGGCAGGCACCGCACAUGGGCUAAGACUCUCCCGAAUAUGCCCCUUUGUUAGCAAUUCCUCUACUUGGCGCCGCAACUCUUCAUGUUCCUUCGGACUCAUCCGAUAAUGUGGUCUGUUAGGCAAGUUGGCACCUGGGACCAAAUUAAUUUGAUGUUGAAUGUCCCUUAAUGGAGGUAAGGUUUCAGGAAGCUCUGUUGGAAAUAGAUCUUCAAACUCCUGUAAUAACGGCUCCACACUGCUUGGAAUAAUGCCAUUCUCAGCCUCCAUUUUUCCGAUCAGCACGUACACAACUCCCGACUCUUUGACUUCUGCUUCAAACUUAGCCAUUGUCAAUAAAUUGUUGUUUUCUCCUGUUGGAGUGCCGCCUGUAACUUCCUUCCUUGGUAACAACACAACCUUGAUUGAAUUGAAGAUGAAGGUGCACGUAUUCAAGAACCCAUCAUACAACACAUGUCGAUCAUAUAGCCACGGUCUGCCCAAUAAUAAAUGACAGGCGUCCAUGGAGACCACAUCACACCAAAUCUGAUCCUUGUAUGUGGUGCCGAUUGAAAAAGACACCAAGCUGCGUCUUGAUACCGUGACAUCAUUCUUCUUAUCCAGCCAUGUUAAUUUAUACGGUCGAGGAUGUGAUUCUGUUGCCAUGUGUAGUUUACGGACCACCUCAUCAGACACUAUAUUUUCACAGCUACCUGAAUCAACAAUGAACCGACAUAUUUUUCCACUAAUUGUACAAGUGGAUUGGAAUACAUUAGUGCGCAGCCAAUCAUCCUCUAUCACGCGUGGUGCCAAACAGCUGCGCCGGAUCAUUAACAUUGGUCCAGCAUCCCCCUCUAAAUGCUCUUCCUCGUCAUAAAUUGGUUCUGCCUCAACAUCGCCUUCCUGUUCCCUGUUAAUCUCCUCAACAUCUGAAAACAAACCUCUCCGCUGCCCUUUCUUACAUUCAGCGAACCUGUGUCCUGGUUCCCCACAAUUAAAACAACGAAAACCUGUGUUAGGUGUCGUUAUGUGUGUAGGCAUAGGAGGCUUGGUAAUAGGAGAUGGUGGAACGGCUGUUCGUGUGCUACUGCUGCUUGCACUACCUGCACCGGUUCCCCCGAAAUUCAUACUCCCUGUUCGUCCGCUGUUGUUGCUUGUAUUUGCACUAGAACCUCCAAAGUUCAGACCCCCUGUAUUUCUGCGCACUAGUUGUUUCUCUAACUGCACUGCUCUCUGGUGGGCAUCCGACACGCCCAAUACAUCAAACAUAUUCAGGAUAUCUUGGAAUUGAAUCGCAGCCACCAAUAUACCGCGCCACCCGUGACUCCUCAUCUUCUGCGAUCGCAUCUCGUGAUACUAACUGAUAAAACUCAGUAGUAUAGUCAUCAACUGAACGGUUUCCUUGUCUUAGAUUUUGCAACCGUUGAUAGAGCGUCCGUGUAUAAUUGUAUGGUAGGAACGCAGAAACAUAUUUUUCUUCAUCUUGUCCCAGCUCGUAAUCUUUCCUUUUCCUUGUAGUCCUUGUCUUCUUUACCUGUUGCCACCAAGCCCCAGCCCGACCUCUAAGCCUUGUUGCAACCAGUGCUACUCGCCUGUCUUCUGGAACUUGUUUAAAUUCUAAAACUUCAUCUACUGUAUUGAUCCAGUCGAGGUACUCAUCCGCUUGCAAGCCACCAUGGAACUCUGGUAUGUCAACCUUGAGGCCUGUCUCCCAGCGCCUUGAUUCAUGCUUGGCCUCCUUGUACUGGCUGAUGGGCGAAUGGAUUUUCUCCUCUUCAGGCUCCUCUUCCACGUCUCGUGGAUUUGGAUUCUGAUGUUGAGCCAUUGACGCUGCUAGCUGCUGCGUUAACGUCUCGACUUGUUGUUGUAGUCGUGCAAUCUCAUCACGUUCGUAGACUUCAUCCAACGGUUGUUCACGAAGGUUCGGUAGGUUCGCACGUCUUCUUGGUGGCAUAACGACGAUAACUAGCCGAGCUCUGAUACCAACCUGAUGCAGAAACGGAACUUACACGCGUUCUAACACACAAGGUUUUUUCAAUCUGUAAUUCCGUAGAAACAAAGAAAGAAAGAUUUUGAGUUAACUACUCAAAGGAGUUUUGGUUUUUUUUUUGUUUAUUAUUCUCCCCUUUCACAAAGAGCUUACAACCGAAUAAAUAGAAGAAACAGAAUUCCUAGAGUUCUAAAACAGCCUCAUUAAGUCAGGAAACAGUCCAGAAUUAAUGAGGAAAUAAAAGCUAAAAUAACGGAACGAAACGUCCUGAAUUAUUAGAGCAAGUAAAAGCUAAUUACUGAAAUGAAAAGAAACUCCAACUGUUACGUAACAAAGUUUAACGUUCUUGAUUGUGCAACAAUAGUCAGCCCUUUUGAUGACUUGCUCUUCGGUCCACAUCAGUUUGAUUGUCAGGUGAGUCAACAGAGAUUCAUCCAAAUCUUGGAUUGUGAUAACCAGUUUCAACAGGUAUGAAGUCCUGUCAGUUGUCACUAUCUUUAUCCUAUGUGCUAGCUGCUGCUGUCAAGGAUCAUGUUUGCAGUCUUGUCACUUUGUAGAUAAAUAUCGGUAACGCAUCAAGGGAUUGGAUAAGCACAGAAAAAUGACAGGAUUAAAAUCCCAUUUGAGAACCAGGUCUACCAGUUUUCCGAGAUAAUUUAUUUAGAAUGGUCAUGAAUAUAAUUGUUAGUCAAGAAUGAUGAAAAUAUCUUUUCUUGAAAUUAUAGUUAAACGAGUAGACUCAAUAAAUUUGUGACCGAUUAACUUAAAUCGGUUUAGGUUUCGAUUUUUAUUCAAUAAAAUAUCAUAUUGUUGUUUUUAAUUUUUAUUCAAACAAUUAAUUUUAUAAAAAAAAUAAAAAAAAUAAAUGAAUCUGAUAUUAUUAUAUUUCACCCAGAUUUAAUUAGAUUAAUUACUGGAUUUAAUUCCCAACUCAAUUCAAAAAAUCAAACCACUCCAGGCCAGGUUUGAUUUGACGGGUCAUCUGAUAUUAAUAUUGAUGAUUAAAGUAAACACUAUUACUGAUUAAAGUAAUCACAUGUUGCUAAAUAAAAAAUAUUAUACAUCAAGAUAAACUUGCCACAGCAUGCUCUCUCAUUUACAGCUUUUAAUAAAAAUCUAGCCUCUGGAAUUCAACUGCUACGCCUACUGCUGAUUAUACCAUUCCACUAUAAUUACAUGGUAAUUAAGUGCAUCUAAGACUACCUAAUUAUUAAACCUUUUUCCCCAUGACCCUCCCUAGUUCCUACAUAAAUCCAAUGAUAUCUUGGUAUUAAAAGAAACAAUCAUCUGGCAUCUAUCGCUAUUAUUGUCACAUUAGUAACGGAAGAUGCCCCAGCAGAGCUCAUCAAUUAAUGACCUUGGUUCUGCCAUGUUUCUUCCUGCGACAAACGCGGGUUGCUAGGGUUCCGGGAGAGAUACGCGGUCCUUUACAAUCAUGGAGAUGACAUUAGACAUUGUAGGCCGAUCAUCAGGAAUUUGUUGGACACAAAGGAGUCCUAUGUUUAUGUAUCUCAACAACGUAGAAGUUGAAGGAGGAUCUCCCAGGCUUGGAUCCAUCAAGUCCAAAGCUUUAUUAGAAUAUUUCCAUAACUUCCAUGCCCAUUGUUUAACAAAGCAAAGUUGCAUCGUUAGGGUGGAGACUAGGAAAGUAAUCAAAUAAAAUUCAAGUAGGAAGAAAAAGAAAAAGGGAGUAUAUGAAAGCUUCCCACAUGUUCAAGAAGAGGGAGGGAGUCGCUGUGGUAGAAACUAGUAUUCUUUUUGCUGCUCACAAUCUCAAGUACCAGGACUCCGAAGCUAAACACAUCAGAUUUUAUUGAGUAAAGACCCUCCACGGCAUAUUCAGGGAACAUAUAGCCACUAACAUUUGAAAAGGUCAGCGCAGAUCAUGUUAGAGUAGCAUGUCCUGGAAAACAGAAUUUAAGAAACUUACUGUGUUCCAACGACCCUGUUGGUGUUUGCUUGAGUUUCAUUGCCUCUGAAAAUUCGAGCCAUCCCGAAAUCGGAUAAUUUUGGAAUAGAAUGUUGCCCAAUUAAAUGAACCAAAGUCCUUCUGAGAGUUUAUUCAAACUAUUUUAACAUUUUUCUUAGGAUAAUCAGGAUUUCUUAUUUGAACGUAAACUUAUCUUAUAAACAGGUCCGAAUCCUCCCUCUCCAAGCUUAUCUGAGAACUGUCCAGUUGCAACUAAUGGCAAUUCCAUACUUUUAUUCCAUCUUUUCUUCCCAUUGUCAACAGAGCUAGAUUCAUUGCUUGUUGAGCUAGGAUCGGUAUCGAAAUCAAAGAGCAAUAAAUUGUGACUUGCAUGUUCCUUCCCUGUUUAAGAAAAAAAAUCAAAGAUGACUGAACACAAUCACUUUUUUUAACACAAUCACGCUCCUAUAACUUUAUAUGGAUACAAUUUUAUGGCAAGUAAUAAUAUAAAAAUUACAAAGUUAGUAGAAUGAUGACGAUAUUUUAUGGUGAUGCAAUAGUUGCAGUGGUGAUAAAGGUGUUGGGAAAACUAUAAACAAAUAACCAGAUCAAUUCAGCGGAAUACAAUUUACAAUUCACAAGUUCCAAUCAUUUUCCCUCUUUGUAUAAUUAAAAACAGAAUCAAACAAUGAACAAGAUAAUACAAACAAUCACACAAAUCAACACCAAGAUUUUUACAUGGAAAACCCGAUGUGGGAAAAACCACGGGAUCGUAGUCCACCUAAAAACUUCCACUAUCAACAAAAUAAUGGGUUCACAACUGUUCUUCCUUAGAUUUAACUAAGGGCUACAACAUACAUAUCAUCAAGAACAAUCUAUUCUUGGAAUACAACAAGAUUAAAGAAGAAGUAUUUGAGAAAAACUCACAAUACUAACAGCCAUGCUUUUUGUCAAAACGGCUAGCUCCCACACUACCAAUCUUCGAUCCAACCAUUCAGAAUGAAGAGUAAUGUGUCUGGAAGCUGCUGUCAAAAUCUCAGCCCGAUCCAAUAGUAAACGAGCUAAGAAUCGAAGAAAUGAGCCAGGCUGCUCUGCUGCCUCUUCUUCCUUUCUUUCUCCCCUUUUCUCUUCUCCUUUCUUUUGUUUUUCUCUACAGCCUUGUACAGUGGCAGCUGCAUUUAAAUCAAAGAGACAGCCAACUGCCUCUCUUUUUAAUUAAUAUGGUGGUCCCACCAUCACAUGGUGCGGGACCACACAUAACAAAUCUCCCCCCCACACACCAUGUGAGGAAUUUGUCAUACUAGUGAUCAACAUGUAAGCUUCAAUUUAAGAGGCUCUGACAAGCCAGCUUCCCUUCUGCAAAACUCAAACUUCUCUCUCGGUAGAGGUUUGGUCAUCAUGUCUGACACAUUGUUAUCGGUAUGGAUCUUCUCAACAACAAAUGACUUCAUCUCCAUAAUAUCUCGAAUUCAUUUAUAUCUAACCUCAAAGUGCUUUGAACGAGAGUGAAAAGUAGGAUGCUUACUAAGAUGGAUUGCACUUUGACUAUCACAGUGCAACACAAAGUUCUCUUGAACUAGGCCAAGUUCAUGUAAGAACUUCUUCAUCCAUAACAGCUCUUUUCCCCCUUCAGUAAGAGCAAUAUAUUCAGCUUCUGUAGUGGAUAAUGCAACACAUUUUUGCAACCUUGAUUGCCAUGAGACUGCUCCCCCUGCAAACUUCAUCAAGUAUCCUGAUGUGGACUUUCUAGAAUCAACAUCACCAGCCAUAUCUGCAUCUGUGUAUCCAUCCAACACAGGUUUAUUAUUACCAAAACAUAGGCUGAAACUAGAAGUACCUUUGAGAUACCUGAGUAUCCAUUUCACUGCUGACCAGUGUUCUUUACCAGGAUCGGAGAGGAACCGACUAACCACACCAACUGCAUGAGCUAUAUCCGGCCUUGUGCAAACCAUGGCAUACAUCAAGCUACCAACUGCGGAUGCAUAAGGAACCUUUUUCAUCUCAUCUCUUUCUUCAUCACUUGAAGGACACUGCUUAGAACUUAGUUUAAAGUGGCUUGCAAGUGGAGAACAAACCGGUUUGGAGUUGCUCAUGUUGAAUCUCUCAAGUACCUUUUGAACAUAUCUCUCCUGAGAUAGCCAAAGUUUCUCCUUCUUCCUGUCACGUGUGAUCUUCAUGCCAAGAAUCUGUUUUGCCGGUCCUAAGUCUUUCAUUGCAAAAGACUUGCUUAACUCUUCCUUUAACAUCUGAAUCUUCUUAGCAUCAUGGCCAACAAUCAACAUAUCAUCCACAUACAACAGGAAAUAAUAAAGUUUCCAUCUGGAAACCUUUUCAUAAAUACACAAUGAUCAGAAGUGGUCCUGUCAUAACCAUGAUCCACCAUGAAAGAAUCAAACUUCUUGUACCAUUGUCUUGGAGCUUGCUUUAACCCAUAUAAACUCUUUUUCAACUUGCAAACUAACUGCUCUUUACCUUUUGCUUCAAACCCUUCAGGCUGCUCCAUGUAGAUCUCUUCAUCUAAAUCACCAUGGAGAAAGGCAGUUUUCACAUCAAGCUGUUCAACUUCAAGAUUCAAACUAGCAGCUAAACCAAGCACAACUCGGAUUGAAAACAUCUUGACCACUGGUGAAAAAAUUUCUUCAAAAUCAAUACCCUUCUUCUGACCGAAACCUUUCACAACCAAUCUUGCCUUAUACCUUGGCUGUGAGCAAUGUUCAUCAAUUUUCAACCUAAACACCCAUUUGUUCUUGAGUGCUCUCUUACCUUUAGGAAGCUUCACUAACUCAAAAGUAUGGUUUUCAUGCAAGGAUUUCAUCUCUUCUUGCAUUGCUUUCAACCACUCACUUUUCUUCUCAUGUGACAUAGCUUCAUCAAAGCAUUCUGGCUCUCCCCCAUCAGUAACCAGCACAUACUCAUGAGGAGAGUAUUUGGUGGAAGGUUGGCGAGGUCUAGUUGACCUCCUCAAUUGUGGCUCAUCUGGAGCUUCUUGCAUAACCUGUUCAGGAAUAACAUCAAUAUCAUCAUUAGCUGAUUCAGGAUCACCAACUAAUGGCUCAUUAAGAAAACCACCAUUAUCAUCAUUUUGCAAAUCUCCCCGUGAUUAGCAGGCAUCAAAGGUAACUGUGGAGUAGGUAUUGGAUUUGAAUUAGAUGGAUAAAAGUAGUAGACUCUGUUUUCUCCUUCUGUUCAAAGUCUUCAAUGGUUUGAUCUUCAAAGAAGAUAACAUCUCUGCUUCUCACAAUUUUCUUCUCCUUUGGAUCCCACCUAUAGCCAAACUCAUCAUCUUCAGAGCCCAAGAAAAUACACUGUUUUGUCUUGCUGUCAAGCUUAGACCUUUCAUCCCUUGGAACAUGUACGAAUGCUCUGCAUCCAAACACUCUCAAGUGUGCAUAAGAGACAUCCUUUCCUUUCCAAACUCUAUUGGAACAUCAAAAUCAAGAGGAACUGAUGGAGAAAGGUUGAUCAUGGCAACUGCAGUCUUCAUUGCCUCACCCCAAAAGGACUUAGGCAGCUUUGCAUGAGAGAGCAUACAUCUAAUUCUUUCAACAAUGGUUCUGUUCAUUCUCUCAGCCACUCCAUUCUGUUGUGGAGUCUUAGGAACUGUCUUCUCCAAUUUGAUACCAUGUUCCCUGCAAUACUUCUCAAAAGGACCCUGUAUUCACCACCAUUAUCAGCUCGAAUACAUUUCAGCUUUCUACCAGUUUCUCUUUCAACUCUGGCAUGGAAAUCCUUAAAGACAUCAAGCACCUGAUCUUUGGAUUUCAAACAAGUGGCCCAAAUUUUCCUGGAGUGAUCAUCAAUAAAACUAACAAAGUACAAUGCACCUCCAAGAGACUUAUCAAUCAUAGAGCAAACAUCAGUAUGAACUAAAUCAAGAACAUGUGAUCUUCUAUGUGAAGGUGAUCUUUGAAAUGCUACUCUAUGUUGUUUACCAACUAAACAAUGAGUACAUGUGUUCAAGUUCAUACCUUUUAAUGGAAGGUAGUUCUUCUUGGCAAGGAUGCCAAGGCCUUUCUCACUCAAAUGUCCAAGCCGUUUAUGCCAUAAAUCAGUAGAGCAAUCUUCAAUUGCAUUCACCUCCCCUUUGAUCACCUUGGCUUGUGACAUGUAGAGACCCAUCUUCUUCCCUUUAGCAACAAUUAGGGAAUUUCUGGAGAGUUUCCAUUUACCAUCUCCAAAAAAUUGUAAUAGCCUUCUUCAUCAAGAGUACCUGUAGAGAUCAAAUGUAGGCGCAUAUCAGGCACAUGCCUAACAUCUUUGAGUAGCAACUUGCACCAGUAUUGGUUUCCAACCAAAUGUCUCCAAUGCCCACAACACUAGCCAUCCCUUGAUUUCCCAUCCUAACUUGACCAAAGUCACCAGCAGUGUAGGAGAAAUCACGUCGAGGUGUACAUGGUAAGAAGCUGCUGAAUCUGCAACCCAGGUGGUAUCCUGACAUGCAAGAUUAACACAACCAUCAUCACAAACAAUGGCAACAUCACCAUCAAAUACAACUGCAGCUGUACCAUUCUCUUCAUUCUUGUCUUCAUCUUUGCCCUUUUUAUCUCUUUUGUACUUUUACAAUCUUUUUGAAUAUGCCCAGGCUUGUCACAAUAAUAACACUUAAAACCCUUCCUUGACUGAGAUCUUCCUCUUGGCUUCCAUUUGCCUUUUCUAUUGCUGGAUUCUCUAUCUUGCUUGCUGUGAGAGAACCUGCUUUGACUUCUCCCUCGACUUUCUGUAACAAGUGCAUGAGACUCGGAAGUGCUUGUCCCUUUCCUCCUCUUCUCUUCGUUGAGGAUACAAUCCUUCACUGUUUUCAAAGUGAUCUUUCCAUUCGGAGUAGAAUUGCUAAGUGACACCACCAAAGUCUCCCAACUAUCCGGCAAUGAACUCAAUAGGAUUAGUGCUUGCAUUUCAUCGGCUAACUCAAGAUUCAUCAAUGACAGCUGAUUCAAAAACCCUUGGAAUACAUUUAUAUGCACCGAAGCAUCUUCACCAUCUCUAUACUUCAAAUUCACAAGGUCUCUAAUUACAAAAACCUUGUUUUGUACACUCUCCUUAGCAAAUGUUUCUUCCAACAUCUUCCAAACUGUAUAACAAUCAUGUUCUUGAGAAAUAUGGUUAAUGAACUUAGAAGAUACCUAUUUUCUAAUAUUAGCGGUAGCCUUUCUAUUAAGCCCAUUCCAUUUUGCCUCAUCUAUUUCAUCAGGCUUUAUUCCUUUAUAUUCAAUCGGCAAAGCCAAAUCAUUGCAAUAUAAGUGAUCCUCCAUCAUUGUUUUCCAUAGAAAAUAAUUUGAGGAAGUGAGCUUUAUCAUACCCGAAUCUUCCUUUUCCAUUUUAACUGCACAAGAAAUUCAAUCUACACAACCAGUGCUCUGAUACCACUUUAUUGGGAAACUAGGAACAAAAUAACUCGAUCAAUUCAGUGGAAUAAAAUUCACAAUUCAUAAGUCCCAAUCCUUUUCCCUCUUUGUGCAAUCAAAAACAAAAUCAAACAAUGAACAAGAUAAUGCAAACAAUCACACAAAUCAACACCAAGAUUUUUACGUGGAAAACCCGAUGCGGGAAAAACCAUAGGAUCGUAGUCCAUCUAAAAACUUCCACUAUCAACAAAUAAUGGGUUUACAACUGUUCUUUCUUAGAUUUAACUAAGGGCUACAACAUACAUAUCAUCAAGAACAAUCUAUUCUUGGAAUACAACAAGAUUAAAGAAGAAGUAUUUGAGAAAAACUCACAAUGCUAACAGCCCUAUUUUCUAUCACAACGGCUAGUUUCCACACCACCAAUCUUUGAUCCAACCGUUCAAAAUAAAGAGUAAUGUGUUUAGUAGCUGCUGUUAAAAUCUCAGCCCGAUUCAACGGUGAACGAGCUGGGAAUCCAAGAAAUGAGCUAGGCUGCUCUACUGCCUCUUUUUCCUUUCUUUCUCCCUUUUUCUCUUCUCCUCUCUUUUGUUUUUUCUGCAGCCUUGUAUAGUGGCAGCUGCAUUUAAAUCAAAGAGACAACCAACUACCUCUUCUUAUAAUUAAUGUGGUGGUCCCACCAUCACAUGGUGCGGGACCACACACAACAAAAGGUUGGGGUGGGAAUGGAGGGGUAAUGGUGGUGCUAGGAAUAUGAUGAUGGAGCAGUAGCAACAAGGUAGCAGCCAUUGUUGUAGCAGUUUUAACGGUGGUCCUAGCUGCAAGAUAGUGGUGGUUAAAAUUAUUGCAUGAUAUUGUAGGUAGAUUUGUGACCUAAAAUAUUUUAUACAACUUUAUAGGUGAAAAUUAUUUUCAAUAAACAAAUUAAGUUUAAUGGUAGACUGGGAAACAAGUACAUGAAAAUCAUCAAGCUCUUGCAUUAUCAAACAUCUAAUAUUAACAUAUAAGAAAAUCGCAAUGGUCUUUUCAAUUCUAUAAAAACCCCAUUAAAAGACACAAGAUUUUUCUUUCAUUUAUCGAAGAAUAACUUAACAGGAAAAUCCUACUUCCAAUAAUAAUUUUUGAUUUACGUGGGUGUCCGGGCCAGCUUGCGCGCACCACGACUAAUCCCACGGCUCACUAAACAUCCUGUAAACCCAGUGAACAUGUAAGGCACCGCGGGGGUGACAGGCGUGCACGGUGAGGUUUGAACCCAGGAUGCAAAGGAAGGAAACAAGUCCCUUCAACCACUAGGCCAAGACCUCAAGUACCUUACAUGGUGAUUAAGGCAACUCCUUAAUUUUGUUCCUUAAUAAAUGUAUCCAUACCAGGCAACCUUCAACAUAUCAGCACCCCCUCAGCAAAACCAGUUAUUCAGGCCCUCAAUGCAAUCAGGGUGACGAGCUGCUUGGAAGGAAGGUAUUGGACUGGCUGUGUCAGUGUUGGCUUGUUGGGCCUAUUUAGCCUACUCAACUUCUUCAAGCCUUCAGCUAAAGGGACACCUUUAUCAUUUGACCACAUUGCCUUUUCUUUGAAAUAAAAACAUGUACUAGCAUUUAGUUGCAGGUAGAAGGGGACGAUCGCUUUCUUUUCUUACCAUGCUACUUGUUCCUGCUUUAAUCUCUUAUGCCAGUUUGGUUACAGGGAUUUCCAGCAGUUUCCAUUGCAGGUGAGCUUUUCUAGCCUUGGCAACAACAUCUAGUCUGAAUUCUGAUUGAUAUAAGCAAUUGGUGUCUUGAAGAAUUUGUUUGGUGCACAGGCAGCUGUCGAGUUAUCAACAUCUGACGGGCUAAUUAUGUGGUAUUAUAUGAUGAAUUUGUACUGAAAGGAAGAUGAGUUUUUAAUAUAUUUAAGAUCUGAAUUAAAUGUGUUUUAUGAACACUUGAUUUGAUGUUGUUCAUGUUUCAAUACAACGAGAAUAAUAGGAAAAACUGAAACAAACAAUUGUACGAUUCAAAUCGGAGAACUUAUACAAAUAAUCUUGAUCUACGUUGCAUACUCAUAGCUUCCUCUGAUGAAGUAGCUUCAUGUCCUUUAGACCUCUUGAUGACAAAACUAUCUCCCAUCUAUCGCCGUUAUUGUCAUAUUAUUCACGGAAGGUACCCCAGAAGAUCUCAUCAAUGGUCUUUGUUCUGCCAUGUUUCUGCCUGCAACAAAAGCAGGUUGCUUAGGUUCUGGGAGAGCCACGUGUUCGUUUACGAUCAUGGAUAUAACAUCAGACAUUGUAGGCCGAUCAGCAGGACUUUCUUGGACACAAAGAAGCCCUAUGUUUAUGUAUCUCAACAGCGUAGCAGUUGAAGGAGGAUCUCCCAGGCUUGGAUCCAUCAAGUCCGAAGCUUUAUUACAAUUCCAUAACUUCCAUGCCUAUGGUAUAACAACGCAAAUGAUGCAUCAUUAGUGUGGACACUAGGAAAUUAGUCAAAUACAAAUCAAAACGGAAGAAAAAGAAAUAAGCGUAUAUGAAAGCUCCCCACAUGUCCAAGAAGAUUGAGGGAGUCGCUGUGGUAGAAACUAGUAUUCUUCCUGCCGCUUACAAUCUCAAGUACCAGCACCCCGAAGCUAAACACAUCAGAUUUUAUCGAGAAGAGGCCCUCCAUAGCAUAUUCAGGGGACAUAUAGCCACUAAAAAUUGGAAAGGUCAGUGCAGAUCAUGUUAAGAGUAGCUGGUACUGGAAAGUGGAAUUCAAGAAACUUACUAUGUUCCAACGAUCCUGUUGGUGUUUGCUUGAGUUUCAUUGCCUCCGAAAAUUCGAGCCAUCCCGAAAUCGGAUAUUUUUGGAUUCAUUUCACUGUCUAAUAGAAUGUUGCUAGGCUUUAAAUCCCUGUGAAUGAUUCGUAACCGUGAAUAUCUAUGUAGAUACAGAAGGCCUUGAGCAAUUCCUUCGAUUAUCCGAAUCCGUGUACCCCAAUCUAGGAUUUGUCCUCUGUUUGCAUCUGUUUAUAGUUUAUACACAAAUCUGAGAUAAAUUUCUUGAAGCAUUUGGAAAGUUAGUGAAAGUUAAUGCAAGAAAAUGCAGACCAAAGAGAAAGAAAUCCAAGCUUUUAUUUGGCAUGUACUCAUAGAUUAGCAUUUUCUCAUCCCGUUCAAUACAGGAACCCAGUAGCCUGACAAGAUUCCGGUGCUGGAGUUUGGCGAUUAGAAUUGUCUCAUUUCUGAACUCCUCAAGCCCCUGCCCAGAUCUUUCUGAGAGCCUCUUCACUGCUAUUUCCAGUCCCGUAGGUAAUUUGCCCUGUUCAAUGAACCAAAAGUCAACCUCAAAAUUCAUUCAAACUAUUUUAAUUUUUUUCUGAAACGGUUAGAAUAAUCAUUUGAACCUCACUUACCUUAUAAACAGGUCCAAAUCCUCCCUCUCCAAGCUUGUCUGAGAAUUGUCCAGUUGCAACUGAUACGCUCUCAUAACUGAACAAUGGCAAUUCCAUAUUCUUACUCCAUCUAUUCUUCCGAUUGUCAACAGAGCUAGAUUCAUUGUUAGUUGAGCUAGGAUCGGUAUCGAAAUCAAAGAGCAAUAAAUCGUGACCUGUAUAUUCCUUCCCUGUUCAAGAAAAAAUUAAAAAUUACUGAACACAAUCACUUUGUUAAAAUAUCCAGCAAUUCUGAUUAUAUCAACCAAAAAUGUAACCACUUCAGGUUAUAAUAACCACAAUUUCCGACAUUAAAAGGGAUUCCAAUUGUCAAUUUUGUCAUGAAAAAAGAAAUUUAAUUUGGUGUUUGUUUGGGGUUAGAUAUUUUACCCACAGACAACCUUUUACGUUUUGAACAUUUUAUAUGAGAAGUUUUACUGAGCUCGGUAAGUAAUGAUGUGGAGACAAACACACCAAAAGAACGCAUGGCAUUCUCUGGCUUUAUAAAAGCCUGAGAAAGGGCAUGACGAGGAGGGAGGGAAAAAGACACGAACAAGAAAAGAACAAACGGAGAGAAAAACCAGAGAAGCACAGGAUAGAUAGAUAGAUAGAUAGAUAGAGAGAGAGAGAGAGAGAGAGAGAUAGAGAGAGAGAGAGAGAGAGAGAGAGAGAUAGAGAGAGAGAGAGAGAGAACCAGAGACACAGACAUGGAGGAACAAACAGGGCGAACCAGCACGGAAACAGGGACGCAAAACACAAAAGAAAACAGAGAGGAAACCAGAAGAACAAGCAAACACAAGAGACAAAGUAAACACAGACAGAACAAAAGGAGAAGAACGAAUAACACAGAGACGAGACGAAGAGCAGGAGACAGACAAAAAACACAAAGAGCCGGGAAGAAGAAGAAAAGGAAGGAAAGAAAAACAGAGUGAGGCACAGGAAGAGAAGGCUAAGGAACAGAGGAGAGGGGAGGCCAAUAGCAGAAAGACGAGCACUGAUCUUCUUCCAGGACUCCAGCAACAAAACACCACCUCCAGGUAAGCUCCUUUCGUUUCCCUCCCUUUAGAAAUAAUUACCCUGUCACUGUGCAAAGCAUGCGUGAAUAAUUCACGCAUGCAUGCACAGUGACCAGCCGGGCCGGACCAGUUAUCAAGUUCAGUUCAUAUGAGAUGAGUUAGAUCUAGAAAAAAAAAAAAAUGAGGUCAAGCUGGAUCUGGGCUUCAACCCAUCCAGUCCAAUUUGUUUUUGGGCAAGGAUGUGUUUUUAAAAACACUUUCUUAUGCUAAUCUUCUUAAUUUUAUUUAUUUGUUUUGAUAUUUGAUCAAACAAACUUCUUUUUUAUAUUAGAAAAUUUUAAAAAAAUUUGUGGACUUUUUUAAAUUUAUUUUUAGGUCCCUCCAGUAUUUGUUUCCUAACAAUUUCAUUAUAUAUUUAAUUUGUUGAUUUUUACUGUGAAAUAAUAAUAAUAAUAAUAAUAAUAAUAAUAAAUGAUGAUUUUUUAAUCUAAAAAGUAAAAUGUCGAAAAACAUGUUCUUUUCUGCAAAUAAAAAAUUUAAAAGUUACCAUAUCGAUACGAUAACCAGUAACUUCAAGAUUUAAUUAAAUUAAGUCUACCAGCAGACAACGGAAAUUAAAGAAAGAACCAGGAUGUACCUCUGUGUAUGAGCUUUCCUUUGCGCAGACAUCUGAAGUACAUGAAGAGGCCGAAGGUAAUCAGAGUAGUUGGAAUAGCCACAGCCAAGGUUGUCCGUAUUGUCCUUUUGAUAUUACCUACUUGUAAAUAUAGAGAUCAAAUAUUACAAAAUCAUAAACCAACACCUGUACAAUGGAUUAAGAAGUUUUUUUAUUGUAGAAAAAAUGGAAAGAUUGGUUAUGUAUCUCACUUUUUUCGACAGGGAACACUGCGUCUGCGUUUUUAUCUGAAAAUACAAGACCGUGAUUUUGUCAAAAAUGGUUUCUCGUCAUUUAUUGGAUCAUACUGUCUAUAUGUACAAAGCCAUACCUGUUCGGGUACUGCCAUUACCAAUCUGUAGUUCAAGCUCAGAAGCAGCAAGUCUGAUGUAAAUUUCUGCUCCAGCCCGGCCAUCAGCAACACCUGACUGUUUUAAGUUUAUAAGAUCUCCUUCCCAUAAAGAACACCCACUGUUAUUAUUAUUGGCAUAAGCCACGCAAGAACAAAUUUCCAAGCAAUCCAAUCUACAUCUUUCAGCACUCACUUUCUGAUAUGUUUUUGAAUUUGCAGGUAAUGUCAGAUUCGAAAUCUUUAGGAAUCCAUCUUCCUUUCCAACACUUCUCUUAUUUUGACACUGCAAAGGAGAUUUCCUAACACAUCCACUUGACCAAUCAUUUUGUACUAAUGGUUUAAAACCUUUCAGGCAUUCACAAUAGCUUGAUGAAUUUUCAUUAAAGACUCCAAAAGCCCCACAUAAACCAUAAACACCAGCAUGGUCUUUUGGUUGAGACCAAAAAAGAAACCACUGCCACCAACCUUCAAACCAAUAGAGUUGUUGCAUAUGUCCUGAAACACCAAUCACGUAUCUUAAAAGAUAUGAGGCAUUGUAAAAAGAAUAGGUGAAAUAGCUUUCAUUUUCAUUUGAUACAUAACUAUAGUUGAAAAUAUAGUCGAAUGUCAUCUCAGGUACCAAGGCAAAUCUUUCUCCAUCCCAAUCACCACUGCUCCAAUACCUGUGUGACCUGUUCCACUCUAUGAAAAGCUGACUGCUUCCAUUUGGGUCGAUCCCAAUCGAGAACAUACCUGGUGCAGGAUCAUCUGAGUUUUUCCAUGAAAUAAGCCGCUGCACUUGCCCAGUGUGCUUGUUGAUUCCAAGCUUUCCACCAGGUAGCCAUGUGUCAGUUGGAUAAUCGAAACUCUGCCAAUAUAUGGUAGCUGGAUUUGAGCCAUCUCUUACGACAAAGUUUCCAUCAUCAAGAAGUACUGCUUCUGCUGUACUAGUAUUCGACAUUGAAGAUGCAAGAGCUGCUGACCAAAGUGUUUUGGUGGAAUUCGUCAGCAAGACAAGAUUGCCAUCAGAUAACAAUUCAAGCUUCGAUGAAGCAGGGUCGUUGGAAGGGCUCUCCCUAUUUGCUACCAUAUUCCCAGGUAAAUGUUUACUGAAGUGCCUGGCUUGAAGAAACCGAGUUCAAAAAUGCCGUUUUGAGAUAUUAGGGUCUCGCUUGCAGAGAGAGAUUGGCCAACCAAAAGGGUAUCACCUACAAUGGAGAAGCAAGUCCUAUGGGAAACGAAUAGCAACAACAGCACAAAGAGCAAAAAACGUGGCUUUGUCUUAACACACAUCCUCUCUAGUUCGUGGGAUUAAGGGUGAAAGAGCUGUGACUGAGCACGAAUCAGAGAACGAGGAAGGGAAAAAAACAAGAAAUCCCUUGUGAAUUCAUCAACUAUAUGAUAAUGCUCGAGAUCUCUUGUCAUAUUGUAGCUGUCAGCUCUUAGCAAUAAUUUUCCACAUUGACUUGGACUUUUCUGUUCUCGCUAUCCCCUCCAAUUAGAGGCUAUGCCAUUUAUUUUUUGAGUCAUGUAAUGCCGAAAUGUGGG
rnacentral:lncRNA from 1 species